CGCCCCAGCCGGAGGCCAGCAGCCGCCUUACGCGGGCCCGGCCCGCCCGGCGGCCUGCGGGGCUGCGGCCGCCCCGCCCGCGGGCUGGAGCCCAGCGCCGCGGCCGUUAACGGAAGCCCGGCGGGGCCGACCCUAAGAACGGCAGCGGGGACGGGGUCGCCCCUGCGAACGGCGGCGGCCGCGGCGUGCCCGAAACGGCAGCGCCGCCGUACGCGGGUGGCGAGGCCCGUUUGUCACCCUGCCUCGCAUCUCCCCCCCUCCCCGCCAUACCCGCCUGCCGGCUGAGGCGAGAGCGCCUGGUCAGAACGAAGUGGCUGAGGUGUCGAGGGGCGUCGCCGCCGGCCCCGGGCAGCAGCGGGGAAUCCCUGUUUUCCAGCCUCAAAGAGAGCAGCUCUCGGAAAACGAGCUGUGGUUAAGCAGCGUACUAGUGCAACGCGAUGGUGGAAAGAGCCGGCUCAUCUCCGUCUCUUACCUCCAGUAUGGCAGGCCCUCUGACGGGGACUUCAUCUGACCCAAGCUUACCAACUGAUCUGAACUCCUGUCCCUGAUGUCCCCCAAUGUCCCACCAGACCACGAGGAAGUCUAGACAGGAAAUUCUCACUCUUUCCUGCUUAAGCUGAUCUGCUUUGUAUGGAAUCAGUUGGGCCAGAGAGGACACCAAAGUGCCUGUCUUCAUGCUAAUCUGGCUUAUGUACCAUUACUUACUGAUACUUAUGUCACUUCUGUAUUGAGUACUUGUAAGUGAUUGGAUAUAUAUGUAUUUUAAUGGUAUUAAUGCACUUCUCUGGUUACCCAUGAUAUAUUCUACUUAUGUUAAAUUGGGUGAGAGAUUACAACACACUCAGGUACUGAAACAAUAGUUCUGAGGCCACUGAAAACAGGACCUCUGUAUCUGGAGAGAAGUAAUUUUGCUAAAUUUGUAAUACUCUGUUUAAAUGAAAUACAGGGAAUCGGACAGGACUUUAGGGAGAGUCCUACAGAAUUCUGUCAGGUCACAUGGGAUAUUAAAGAAGUAUCUGGAAGCACCUGUUGUUUUGUGCAAAUUUACAGUGUGAGGAAAUGGUUGUGAUUCUUAUGCUCAAAUAUAUGAUACUGAUUUUCUGUCCUGCUUAUCUCUCUUACUUAUCAUUGAAUAGAUGGAAUUGGAUACCUGAAGUUCUGAAUAUUUUUGGGAUUACUCUCAGCUGUAAUUAAUAGGAAAAGACAGUAAGUCUUGCUUCUACUGAGCCUGCCACCACAGCACCUCUUUCCAGGUGGUGACAGUAAGAACCACCAUCAGGAUUUAGACAUGUUUGCCCCCAGUUCGCACAUGUCUCAAUGUGCGUCUGUUGUAUAUAUGUAUAAUCCUAUUGUUGUAGCUUGUUGAUGCAGGUGGGGAACACCUAGGUUUUUGUGGAUCCUGUCAGCUUAAGCCUUUGUUUUUCCAUGUGCAUAAAAGGCUGAGAUAUUUUAUAUUGAAGUUACCGAAGCAAGGCCUAGGACCCAGUGACAGUUUAGGUGCCAGCUGAGCCAGUUUCAGACUGUGAUUUAAAACUUUAGAAGUGGCUGAAGCAGGAGGUAAGCAGGACUGCUAUCCUUUCAUAGCUAUAGUCUUGGAGCAUCUUUUUGUUUAAUAUAUAAUGUACAUUUCAGCAUGGAAGCAAGGUAUUCACUGCUGCUUGUGCAGUCAACUGCUGCUGGCAAGUGCUCACAAAUUUACAUAAGUGUUUUUUGCAAAAACUUUUGCUAAAUUAUGAUUGAGAAUCCAACCUGGAACUUUUUUUAGUUUGGCGCAUUGACCUUGAUUUAUCACCAAACAAUGCACACACACAAUUAUCACAACUGUAGCCUUGCUUCUGGAUUAAAUCUUUUGAUUCAGUUAUUAAAAACCUCCAGGUUUAAAAUGUGUAGAUCACAGGAUGCCAUAAAAGAUGCCAAUAUAUUCAGCUGCUGUGCUUGUGAAACUCAGAGAGGAAAGAAACAGCUAUGUUGUCUGUUAAUGCAGCCAUAUUUUCUGUAGCACGGUGCUGACAUCUUUAAAUGACUUCUUGCACAGAGGAAGUAAUAUAAUUCCAAAUGAUGCAGACAAGCAUGUUGUAUUUUGAUGACAAAAGGCACACGUACAGAACCAACUCAUGUUGUUUUCCCACUUGCAAGAAAUGAUGGAAACUAAACCAAAAGUUGUCUUUGUGCCAAGGUGUCUGUGUUAAGCAGAGACGCGUUUUUUUGUUCCUCUGUUGCCUUAUGCAAGUCACAUACACAUGGCAAUCUAGACACCUAGCAGGCACUGUAAGGGAUUAAGAAAGAGGGAAAAAGAAAAGAUGUCCUCUCCACUAUACAGAUGAAAACACCAAAAAUUAGGAAAAAUUACUUACAGAAUUUUAGUGUGUCCUAGAUUUAUGCAGCUUCUUGAAAUUAAGCACUGAGAUACCUAAUUUUACAUAUUAUUAAUUUUAAGAAAAUACCAUAUAUGAAGGUUCAUUUAUAAAAGGUCAGUAAAUGCUUUAA